UGUGUGUGUGUGUGUGUGUGUGUGUGUGUGUGUGGUGACUGAACGUACAGGUGUAUUAAAAGCCCUGAGUCCAAGUGUGAUUGCACAGGUAAUAUCUUUGUGACUGGCUAGUGGGAAAAUGGCUCCGCACUCACAGGAGAGGGAUAUGACCCAAGCCCCCUGCAUCUUUCAGCUGGUAUUCUGGCCAGCCGCCGCUCUCUCACACAGAGGCUGAUAUUUAUGGUGAACUGGUAUUCUGGCUAUGAGUCUCAUCCACAGACCUGACCGCCUUGCGCUUUAUCGGAAAAGGUCACCACAGCCUCAUCCUUCCACUAGUCACUCGACUCACACCCCAAAUUAAAUCACUUCACC
ensembl:lncRNA